rnacentral:rRNA from 1 species
UUUAAAGAGUGCGUAAUAGCUCACUAGUCGAGUGACCCUGCGCCGAAAAUGUACCGGGGCUAAACAUAUUACCGAAGCUGUGGAGUACACCUUUAGGUGUAUUGGUAGGAGAGCGUUCUAAGGGCGUCGAAGGCAGAUCGUGAGGACUGCUGGAGCGCUUAGAAGUGAGAAUGCCGGUAUGAGUAGCGAAAGACAGGUGAGAAUCCUGUCCACCGAAUGACUAAGGUUUCCUGGGGAAGGCUCGUCCGCCCAGGG